rnacentral:misc_RNA from 1 species
CUCAAGUUACCUUAUGAACCUCCUCACACUAAUUAAACACAAUUUUUUUUUGGAGAAAGUACAGUUUAAAUUCAGCUGUUCGACAUCUUGGGAUUUUCAAUGUCAAUUUGCAUUGUCGCUUAUUGUAUGUAGAGGUCACAGCUAGCUAAGUAAUUUGUUGGAAUUACCCAGGAUGAUCGAUCAGCACCUGAGCUUAUUCAGCUGAAGAUUGAGAAACUAUGAAGUCUAAAAGGAGUCAGUACUACCGUAUGGUUUCCUGGUAUACAUACUUCUCUGCAUAGUUCAAGCUUGUCUGAAUGAAAAUUUUUUAUGAAAUGAAGCAUUACUCAUACAUGCGAACUUAAUUAUGUGUCUGAAUGGCCAAAAACUAGAGUUGCAUGUAGUUUAACAGGCUUCUUAACAACAUCAGCAGCAGCAGAACUAAACUACCGUAGCAUGUAGAAACUUUCAUUAAGCUUUGAACUACAACUAUUCUUUGCAAUGCAUUGGAUUCAUUUACAAAUACCAUGGACUGAGCCACCGACUCUGAUGUGUUGUUCAAUCAACACAUGCAUCAAAAGGCUGUACAUGUUGAUAAUAAAAAACAGGUAACUGAACAGGAUAAAAAGUUAAACUGCUUAUGCAACCUGGUAAGACGUAAAGGUUAGUAAAUCUUGACAACUUGAGAAAAAUAAAUUCCAUUUACUAACUUGGCCUUCAAGCUGAAAAUUUUAUGUUUACAAAGCUCUCCCUUUCCUCCACAUCUGUCCUCAUUCUUAACUCUACAUUUUUACAUUAAUCUUGCAAAGUUCUCUCUAAAGAAGAUUGUGAGAACAUGUUUAAGCAGCCUUCGUAUCACUAUCAUCAAGAUCAUAGCAUGCAAAAACAGGAAAACAGAGUUGAAUUCAUCUUCAAAUUGAUGCCUGGUCUAGUUAGCAAAGAAUAGAUAUUCUACAAUAAAGUUUUCUGCCCUCCUAGUCCUAAUCAAUGGUGUAAAGCUAUAACUGUUUCAUUUUUACUAAAUCUCAAAGUGGGUGUGGUUUAAGGAAAUGAAUCAUACAUUCUUUUUCCUGAGAUUACCCAUAAACCUGUACAAAACUGAAGAUCCCUCCCUAUGGAAGAGCUCUAACUUAUUCCAUUUCAAUCAAGCAAAGAAUGCUCCAAGCAUUUUCAAGUAGUUAUCAAACUCAGUAAGAAUCCACAUAAAAGAAUAUGCAGAAAACGCAGUGCAUCAUAGAAAAGUGAAGAGCAUUUGAAAAUCCCAUAAGUUGAAAUCGCACUCAGGUCUCAUCCACUUUAUUAAUAAACGAAACGAGGGAAAAAAAACACCUCACCAACAAAAUUAAAGAACUUUAAGCAUAUCUUCAGCUCCACUGAACGUAAAAGCUCCACCUUCUUCCAAAUUGAGCACCUUGACGACCCCAUCCUCUGCCAAAAGGGCAUAUCUCCUUGACCUCACUCCCAAUCCCACUGGCUUAUCACGCAAAUCUAGCUCACACCCAAUUUUCUUGGUGAAUUCCCCAUUUCCAUCAGACAAAAGCAGCACCUCGUCCUUAAUCCCUAAAUUCUCCUUCCAAGCUCUCAUAACAAACGCAUCGUUCACCGAUACACAAGCAAUGGUAUCCACCCCUUUCGCUUUUAGCUCCGCGGAUUUCUCCACGAAUCCCGGAAGGUGUUUCUGCGAGCAGGUAGGAGUGAAGGCUCCAGGGACAGCAAAGAAGAUUGACUUUUUCCCGGAAGUGAGAGAGGAUACGGUGGUGGUCUGGAGCUCCCCGUCAGCGUCGAAAUAGGAAAGGGUGGCGUCCGGAAGCUUGUCGCCGACAGAAAUGGUGGCGGAGAUUGUGGGAGUGGUGGUUGUUUUGGUGGAGAAUCUUUUGAGUUUGAGUGGAUUGGAUUGGUGUUUGAGAGGGAGAGAGGAGAAAGAUAGUUUAGAGGAGAGGGAGAUAGGAGAGAGUAGGGAUUUGGUUGUGGCGGUGGUUGCGGCCGCGGGGGAGGAGAGGAGAAGUCUAGAGAUGGAGAGAGAAGCAGCCAUUGGAAGAGCUAGUAGAAGAGAAGAGAUUUGGUGGGUUGAGGUGCAAUGGGGUUUUGGGAUGAUUUGUGGCGUUGGGGGCGGAGGAAACAAAGAUUAUGACGUGCAGGUUCAGGUAAGGACAAAG